rnacentral:lncRNA from 1 species
UCCUGCAGACUGCCUCUGGAAUGUUAGCAUACAACUGAAAAAUCAGGAUGUUCAGCUGGGUGGUGAAAGUGGUUCCCCAGCCUCCUGAUCCUCCAGGAAAACUUGGGGAGGAAGACAAGCCCAUACCACCUCCAGACAAGAAAGUGUCAUUUAAAGAGGAAGCUCCAAAGGAAGGCCCCAAACCAGUCAAGCCUAAAGAGGAAGAAGUCUCACAGGAAACUGGUAACCAGAGUGGAGUGUUGACCUGGCUCUCUCAUGGCUUCUCUAGUGCUCUGCCCCAGCCAGCAGGAAGCCCGAGGCUGUCCAGAGCAAAUUCAGAGGUGAAGGAUGAUGCAUCGGGCACCAGUAAGGCAGAUGAAGCUGAAGGCAGCGGAGUCAUGGGCUGGUUCGUGCAGGGACUGGGAAAAGUGGUUCCUCAACCAGAUGACAAGUAUAAAGAAACAGCGGAAGCGGAAGAGAGCACAGAGGUGCAUGAAAUGAAAGAUGUCCCUGACGCUGAGCCUCUCAUCCCUGUUGUGGAGCUUGUGUCAGAUGACGAGGAGGAUAACAAAGCUGCCCCUCCAAGUAUGGUCGGCUGGAUUGUGUCGGGCUUUGGCCGCAUCAUGCCUCAACCUGUGCUGAAAACUGGGGAGAACUGUGAAUCAAUGCAAAAUGGGAAAGCCCCCUAAACAAAAGGAGGAGAGGACUGGGAGAGUCACUCACAUGCACCUACAGAUACACAGAGACAGUGGCAGAAAGAAUGGCAAACUGACAAACAGACAGACAGACAGACAGACAGACAGACAGACAGAUGCAGCAAUUACAAACAGGCAGCUUUAUGAGCGCAGCUGUGUAUCAAGCACUUUGUUUUUCAUGGAUAGUGGUGCAGUGUGAAGUAAUGCUUGGCUUUGCAUAGGAGAUUAUUCAGUGCUACGGUUUGUUUGGAAUCAGGAAAAAUAUAAAAUUAGUCUUCAUUGUGAGGCUUUCACUGUUUACAUUGUAACAUUUGCA